UACGUAGGGUGCAAGCGUUAAGUCGGAAUUACUGGGCGUAAAGCGUGCGCAGGCGGUGAUGUAAGACAGAUGUGAAAUCCCCGGGCUCCAACCUGGGAACUGCAUUUGUGACUGCAUCGCUAGAGUACGGCAGAGGGGGAUGGAAUUCCGCGUGUAGCAGUGAAAUGCGUAGAUAUGUGGAGGAACACCAGAGCGAGCGGACG
rnacentral:rRNA from 1 species